rnacentral:lncRNA from 1 species
UAUUCUACUAUAUAAUUUUAAGUGUGCACAUGUGGUGCCUUCCUGCUGAUUCAGAAUUUGCCAGCAGCUCUCUUUGUACAUUCUUUAUUUUCAUGAGGUGUGGAUUGUGGGAUUGGAUCGCUUGAUAUUUAAUUGGUGGCCAAAUAUGACCGUGGAGCAUUUUAUUUCUAUUCAGUGUUUGGUUGUACUAGAGUUUUCUAUUUCUAUUUUUGUUUGUCAUUAACUGGAGUAACUUUGUAUGGCCUCCACUACUUCUAUACAUCGUUAUUUUACUAAUAUUACUUGGUUUCCUUCUGUAACACACUGGACCUUUGCAAAUUGCGAGGUUCGAGUGUUUGGUUGUGUUUCGAGCUUUUCCACACUUGGUGGAGGGUUGUAAAAUGUUCCCCGACCCGAAAAGUUCGAAAACUGGAACUUUGGACAAGUCCUGAGAGUUUUUACUCUCGGGGACCGGUCCCUGGAGGGAGAGACCGGUCCCCCCAGUGAGUAGUGUUGAGGCAGCCUGAGGCAACCGGUCCCUGGCAGGCGAGACCGGUUCCCGAACGCGUCUUCGCAGUGAGAGACCGGUCCCGCGCAGGGAGAGACCGGUUCCCGAACGCUGGUUUUUCGGGUUCGCAGCGAGAGACCGGUCCCUGCUGGGGAGAGACCGGUCCCUCUGGGCGAAAACUGCCCAGUUCGGGCUGAUGCAAUUUUGGAUUUUUGAGGGGCCUCACUGGAUUUUGUUACAUUAGAUGGGCUUAUUAGCCAUUUCCCCCUCUUCCCUCUCUCAUUCUCUCAUUCUCACCCUCUCCCUACAUUUUCUAGAGAGAGAAGAAGAAGAAGAAGGAGGAGAAGAAGAAGAGGAGCUAGCUUGAGGGAGCUUGGAGCUCAACCCCUUUCUCUCUUUCCCACCUUUGCAAGGCUUGGAGCUUGCUUGUAGAGCUUAGUGGUGGACCAAACUUCAACCCUAGGGCAUUUUGGGCUUGGAUUGAAGCUUCCAAAGGGUUAGUAUCAUGUUUCCCUCCUCUAGAUUCUUGUUUUUGUGAUUUUUGGGAGAUGAAACCCUAGAAAUGAGAUUUAGGGUUUGAUUUUGGGCUUUUUGAAUCUAGGGCUUUUGGGGUUAAAUUGAUUGGUUUAGAACCUUCCUUAGGCUUGGAUUGGAAGGGUUCUAGCUCUCUUUCGGAGCUUUGGGAGAGAUUUCUACUCUUGAGGUAAAUGUUGACCCUUUUUGCUUCUAGGUUAAUGUGUGAUCUUACGGUUGGUCGUAAUACUCUCGUAUCUCUUCGCUGAUCACUUUUAGGGUAUUUUGAGACUCGGGGACAACUUUGUUCGGCGAAUCGAGACCCUACGCGACGGUUCGGUGGGUUUGACCUAGCCUAUGAUAUGAAAAAUGCUCAUAUUUGGCAAAUAUGUUUCGUAAAAUAGAAAUUCAUGCAUUUCCAUGUUAAAUGUAUUUAAUAUGAAUUUUAGAAUGCUUAACAUGCAUAGGUUAUGUGUAGUAAAUUUUGGGACCUCUAUAUAGUAGAGAGCAUGUAUGUGUGGCCUAGCAUUCUAGAUGAGACUUGAAAUUACAAUCCCUAUUAUGAAAACGAACCUUGCUUUCAUGCAUUCAAACUAUAUACCAGUUAUGACAUUAGGGAUUUUUGGAAGCCUAGAGAGGCUUAGAGACUUAGAGGAUAUGUGAGAUUGGGCCAAUGUCAUGAAGAGGCAUUGGGGCCCGGGGCAUAGUGAGCAUUAAUGUUAAUGUCCUAUUUGGAACAUGAUUAGUUGUGGAGCUUAAGUGUCAUAAAGAGGCACUAAGCAAGUGUGUGUUGGGACCUCACAUUAUGACUUUGAACUAGAUCUUCGGGAUACUAGUGACCAUACCAUGUUAGAGACAUGAGGAUUGAGUACUUGAGACUUUGACCUUGCUUGUUUGCCAUUUGUGCUCAUUCGCACAUGCUUGUGAGGGUCGCUCCCUACAAGCCGGCACUCCGGAGUUGGCCUAUGCGACUUUUGUUCGCUCGUGCGGUAUUGAGAAGCCUACGGGGUCGAGUGGGACAGACACAUUCCAAGAGUAGGAAUGUCGGGCUACCACAGGCACUUAGGCGGCACAAGCUGGACUACCUUGGGUAGGUCCUUAAUUGGAAAUGGAAAUCGACACGGUUUGAGAGUGAAUGAUCACUACUAGAUAGACUUAGUAGUUGGAUUACGUUUACAUGCUUUUAGCAUAGUGUGAGACAUGUAGUAUACUUGGUUGCCAUGAUAGAACACCUACAUCAUGUAUUGACAAAGGUUAACAACAUUAAACUAGUGCCAAUUGGACUUAAUUGUAAGGAUAGAAUAGAUGUACAUUUUGGUUGACAUCAUGUUUACUUGAGACACAGUAGACUAGCAUUCCAAUUGUGCUUUCUUUCAGCAGUUUAUUUACAUGCUCCUUAUUGCUUAUCAUUAUUAUUAUCGUUGCUUACCCUUAUUUUUGGGGCCUAGUGGAGCAUGAGCUGAGGUCAGUAAUUGCCCACUGGGAACUAUAAAUUAUAGUUCUCACGCCCUCUUUUUCUCGAUGUUUUUCAGAGCCUUCCACGCAGGGAGAGGCCAGGGAUCGCGGAAAGGGUAUCGCCUCGGGCUAGCGUGCUUACCGAGGGAUCGUUCGAUAGGUGGUCUACCUCUCGUGUUAUCUUUUUGUGAGAGGUUGAGAGUUGUACCCGUAUAUGUAUAGAGACCACCAUUUUUGUACUAGAGACAGAUAUUGUACUACUUAUGAUUUCCUUUAUUGUCUAUCCUUAUCUCCUUACUUUGGUGUAGAUGCUAGAACUAUAUUUGCUCUGAUAUCAUUAGUUGCUGGUUAUUUCACUUCUUUUAUUUGUUCUAUUUCUUGCUUUUCUUCCGCUUUUAUUGUAGACGCCUUAUAUGUGUAGACAUAUGGCGGGUCUGGGCACGCUACCAGGAGGGCCUCCGCCGGUCCCGGGGCGUGACACCUUCAUUCCUUGGUGUUUCUUUCUAUUUGCUGGCUCCUUUUUGAGGUGGUGAUGAUGAGUUGAGGCAAAUGUGGGGAUUGCUUUUUCUGAACAAGUUCCUUAAUUUCUUGGUGUUUUUUUCUAUUUGCUGGUCCUUUUUUGUGGCGCCGAUGAUAACUUGAGGAAAAUGUGGGAAUUUUUUUGCUUCGAACAAGUUGAAGUUUGGAUGGCCAGGUCAUAGGCAACCACUUCCGACUGUUCUUAGCUUUGGUUGUUGCGCGUUUCUUAUCCUUCAUGGUUGCCCACAUUUCCUCCAGCGAUAAUCUAUCAGUGCUUCUAUCCUGUGCUUAUAAACAAUGUUGUCGAACCAACUUGACUGAGCC